rnacentral:rRNA from 1 species
UCGAGAAUUUUUCUCAAUGGGCGCAAGCCUGAAGGAGCGACGCCGCGUGUGGGAUGAAGGGUUUCGAUCCGUAAACCACUGUCAUUUGUGAACAAUGGUUACCGUUUAAGAGAUGGUGACUUGAUAGUAAUGAAAGAGGAAGGGACGGCUAACUCUGUGCCAGCAGCCGCGGUAAUACAGAGGUCCCAAGCGUUGUUCGGAUUCACUGGGCGUAAAGGGUGCGUAGGUGGCAUGGUAAGUUUGAUGUGAAAGCUCAGGGCUCAACCCUGAAAUGGCAUUGAAUACUACUGUGCUGGAGGUUUGGAGGGGGGACUGGAAUUCUUGGUGUAGCAGUGAAAUGCGUAGAUAUCAAGAGGAACACCAGUGGCGAAGGCGAGUCCCUGGACAACACCUGACACUGAGGCACGAAAGCCGGGGGAGCAAACAGG